CGACCUCAGAUCAGACGAGAUUACCCGCUAAAUUUAAGCAUAUCAAUAAGCGGUGGAAAAGAAACGAAAACGAAUUCUCCAAGUAGCGGCGAGCGAAACGAGAAAAGUCCAUACACCGAAGUCGGCGAGCAGUUGUGUUCGUCAACAGUGUGGUGUUAAAGGUGUCGUUGCAUGUGCUGAAAUCAGUUCGUAGGCUCCCUUGAUUGGGGCUUCAGAGCGGGUGCAGGACCCAUAACGAACGAUGUUUUGUGCAUGGUGUCGCGGCUCCUAAUCGAGUCGGGUUGCUUGAGACUGCAGCCCAAAGCGGGUGGUAAAUCUCACCCAAGACUAAAUAUUUCGUACGAGACCGAUAGCGAACACGUACCGCGAGGGAAGUUGAUAAGAACUCUGAAGAGAGAGUUCACCAGGACGUGAAACCGUUGACAGG
rfam:Trichinella spiralis unplaced genomic scaffold Scfld4390, whole genome shotgun sequence.